ACGGAAUAGAUACCCCCGGUAGUCCACGCCCUAAACGAUGAUUACUCGACAUUGGCGAUAUUACUGUUCAGUGUCUGAGCGAAGGCGUUAAGUAAUCCACCUGGGGAGUACGCCCGCAAGGGUGAAACUCAAAGGAAUUGACGGGGGUCCGCACAAGCGGAGGAGCAUGUGGUUUAAAUUCGAUGAUACGCGAGGAACCUUACCUGGGCUAGAAUGCGCGUGAAUGUUUCAGAAACGAGACAGGCUCAGCAAUGAGACACAAAGCAAGGUGCUGCAUGGCUGUCGUCAGCUCGUGCCGUGAGGUGUUGGGUUUAAGUCCCGCAACGAGCGCAACCCUCAUCAUUAGUUGCCAACGGGUAGAGCCGGGGACUCUAGUGAAACUGCCUGCGUAAGCAGCGAGGAAGGGGGGGUACGACGUCAAGUCAUCAUGGCCUUUAUGCCCAGGGCUACACACGUGCUACAAUGGUCGGUACAGAGGUUGCCAAACAGUGAUGUUGAGCUAAUCUCAAAAAGCCGAUCUCA
rnacentral:rRNA from 1 species